UUCAUACUUUCUCCGUCUUAAAAUUCUUGUUUUAGAUUUGUUUAGAUACGAAUGUAUCUAGUCACGUUUUAGUAUUUUGAUACAUCCAUUUCUAGAUAAAUCUAAGACAGUUUUUUUUGAGACGGAGGAAGUAUAUG
rnacentral:pre_miRNA from 1 species